AACCUUAUGGACCUGCGGGCGUAUACCUGCGGAGGGAUCAUUACUGAGUCACGUGCUCAAACAACCCUUCUGUGGACCUGAAAUAAAACCGUUGCCUCGGCGGGCGGUCCCCCCCAAACCAACCCCACGUGGUGGGUUAGGGGAGACCAGACAGUCCGGUACGCUUAAGGCGUCCGGCGCCAGCCGCUGGCCCCAAACAAUUAAACUCUAGUAAUCUUUACCUUCUGAAUUUCAAUAUUU
rnacentral:misc_RNA from 1 species